rnacentral:rRNA from 1 species
UUGUGUUGAAAUUGGUGAAGCGCGGAUAUAAACACAAUUCACCACCAGAAAACAGGCCUAUUGGAACCAUGAAAUAACGCCAAGGCAUAUAAUUAGGGUGACCACUAUUGAAUAACUCAAAGCAUAUAUGCAUCCCAAACGGCGUUGGAGCUCCUCCCCAAUAAUUGGUUCGACCUUGCAGGCGGCCCGCGAAUUUCAACUAGUGGAAUAAGAGUUUGAUCCUGGCUCAAGAACGAACGGCUGGCGGCGUGCCUAAUACAUGCAAGUCGAGCGGAGCUCGAUAGGUGCUUGCACCUUGAGAGCUUUAGCGGCGGACGGGUGAGUAACACGUAGGCAAACCUGCCUGUAAAGACUGGGAUAACUCCGGGAAACCGGGGCUAAUACCGGAUAACAUCAUUUCUUGCAUGAGAAAUGAUUGAAAGAUGGCGAGGGUUCAGUUUCUGAACCUUGCUAUCACUUACAGAUGGGCCUGCGGCGCAUUAGCUAGUUGGUGGGGUAAUGGCCUACCAAGGCGACGAUGCGUAGCCGACCUGAGAGGGUGAUCGGCCACACUGGGACUGAGACACGGCCCAGACUCCUACGGGAGGCAGCAGUAGGGAAUCUUCGGCAAUGGACGAAAGUCUGACCGAGCAACGCCGCGUGAGUGAUGAAGGUUUUCGGAUCGUAAAACUCUGUUGUUAGGGAAGAACAAGUAUCGUUUAAAUAAGGCGGUACCUUGACGGUACCUAACGAGAAAGCCCCGGCUAACUACGUGCCAGCAGCCGCGGUAAUACGUAGGGGGCAAGCGUUGUCCGGAAUUAUUGGGCGUAAAGCGCGCGCAGGCGGUCUCUUAAGUCUGAUGUGAAAGCCCACGGCUCAACCGUGGAGGGUCAUUGGAAACUGGGAGACUUGAGUGUAGGAGAGGAAAGUGGAAUUCCACGUGUAGCGGUGAAAUGCGUAGAGAUGUGGAGGAACACCAGUGGCGAAGGCGACUUUCUGGCCUAUAACUGACGCUGAGGCGCGAAAGCGUGGGGAGCAAACAGUAUUAGUUUCCCUGGUAGUCCACGCCGUAAACGAUGAGUUUUUUUGUUUUAGGGGUUUCGAUACCCUUAGUGCCGACGUUAACACAUAAGCACUCCGCCCUGGGGAGACGGGCAGUUA